UCGGACGUGGUGUAAUGCAACACGGCCUCUUUCUCUGGACCCCUGGCUUUAUUGUAUAAGGCAGUGCCGGGUUCGACUCCCGGCGUCCGAA